GACGAACGCUGGCGGCGUGCUUAACACAUGCAAGUCGAACGGAAAGGCGCUGCUUUUGUGGGGUGCUCGAGUGGCGAACGGGUGGGUAACACGUGAGUAACCUGCCCUUGACUCUGGGAUAACUUCAGGAAACUGGGGUUAAUCCCAUAUAGGAGCUCCUGCGGCUGGGGGGGGGUUGGACUGUGUCGGAGGUUGGGGAUGGGGGCGCGGCUUUUCCGGCUUUUGGGGGGGUAGUGGCUUACCAAGGCUUUGACGGGUGGCCGGCCUGAGAGGGUGACCGGCAACGUUGGGACUGAGACGCGGCCCAGACGCCGACGGGAGGGAGCAGUGGGGGAAAGUGCGAAAUGGGCAGAAGGCGUGUGCGGCGACGCCGCGUGCGUGAUGACGGCCUUCGGGUUGUAAACCGCGUUCGCCUGUGACGAAGCGUGAGUGACGGUAAUGGGUAAAGAAGCACCGGCUAACUACGUG
rnacentral:rRNA from 1 species